rnacentral:ribozyme from 1 species
AAAAAAAAAAAAAAAAAAAGUGAUUGACGGGUGCAUGCCGAUGGAUGACGGCACGUUCCUUUUUUUUCUUCUUUUCUUUUUUAACUACGACUUACUCAU